GAGGAAAGCUGGCGGCGUGCCUAAUACAUGCAAGUCGAGCGAACGGACGAGAAGCUUGCUUCUCUGAUGUUAGCGGCGGACGGGUGAGUAACACGUGGAUAACCUACCUAUAAGACUGGGAUAACUUCGGGAAACCGGAGCUAAUACCGGAUGAUAUUUUGAACCGCAUGGUUCAAAAGUGAAAGACGGUCUUGCUGUCACUUAUAGAUGGAUCCGCGCUGCAUUAGCUAGUUGGUAAGGUAACGGCUUACCAAGGCAACGAUGCAUAGCCGACCUGAGAGGGUGAUCGGCCACACUGGAACUGAGACACGGUCCAGACUCCUACGGGAGGCAGCAGUAGGGAAUCUUCCGCAAUGGGCGAAAGCCUGACGGAGCAACGCCGCGUGAGUGAUGAAGGUCUUCGGAUCGUAAAACUCUGUUAUUAGGGAAGAACAUAUGUGUAAGUAACUGUGCACAUCUUGACGGUACCUAAUCAGAAAGCCACGGCUAACUACGUG
rnacentral:rRNA from 1 species